rnacentral:misc_RNA from 1 species
GAUCAAAAUAAUGAGCAUAUAAGCACUCAAUAUUAUGGUAAUUUAGUGUGAUAACCUAAGACAGAGAGUUCCAUUGCUAAAUAUUUGACAUGUAAUUAUCUCAUAGGAAGACUUUAAUCGAACAUACAAAUAAUGCCAUUUCAUUUGUAUACCAUUUAGCUUUAGCUGCCUGGUGGAUACUCUCACAAGACUUUAGCAUCUAAAUCCUUCACCUUUUGAAGAAAUGCAUAAUGAAGCUUGGAUAUAUCAGCCAACCAAAUCAAGAGGAAAAUUUAUUAUCAUUUCAAAGUUCAAACAAAUAAUUAAAUUCACAGUCGGUACUAAUUAGAACCCAAUUCACAGGAAGACCAUGGUAAUGACGCAACAUUCAACUUCAAAAGCCUUAACAAAU